AAUACUAUUCUACCUAGAGUCACAAUUUAUAGAAGUAUUUAUCCAUCUGAGAAAUUCUUCCCAGAAGUAACCUGGAUUAAAGAGCUGAGGAAACCAAGGCUCAAAACUGAAGUUGGGUGUUUUGUUCCAGGUCACACAGGCUGUACUAGGGAGUCAUCCCUUUUGGACUCCCAGGAUCUAGUGACAAACAUUGAUGGAGCAACAGCCACAUGGUAAACACUGAGACAGAGAGAGUCCCACCUUCAAGUGACAAGCAAUGACAACACAGAAAAGGGCUGUGAUGGAGGACAUCUAGUGUGGGAGCCUGUAUCAGGGAAGCCUGAUGUGGACUUGAGGAAGAGAAAGCUUUCAUGGAGGAAGUCACCUUUAAGUUGAAAUCUGAAAGACAAGUAGGAGAUUGGUAAGCAUUUCAAACAUAGGUGAGAACUUGAGAAGAAGUCUAGAGGCAAGAGGGAGCAAGGAGUAUUCAAAGAACUGAAGGAGGCUGACUGUGGCGUGCAAGUUGAGGUGGGCAACAGACAAAGCUGGCAAGAUCCCCAGAGCCUGUUCCUGAAGGACUAUGUGAGCCACAGGACCCUGGACAUUAUCUGGAUGAUGGUGUAGGACCACAGAAGGGUUUUAAGCAAGUGAGGGACCAUUAGACAUGCACUUUAAGAAGAUCAGCUCUGGACGCAGCAUGGGGGAUGGUUUGGAGUGAGGUAAGAGGGGAGGUGGGGAAAUCAGAAAAGCUGCUACCUGCCAGCAAAAGCCAGAUGAGAAUUGACAGAGGUCUGAGAUAGAGAAGUGCCUGGAAUGGAGAAAAGCACAUGGAUUCAAGUAAUAUUUAAAAGGUAGAGCCCACAGCAUUUGGGAGGUGAUUAGAAGAAAGGAGUGAGGGGCAAGAGGAAGAAGAAAAGAGAGAAAUAAAGGAAAACACCCAAGUUUCUACUUUGGGCGACUGGAUAGAUGGUGAUAUCCUUUACCAGGAUAGGGGCACAGGAGGCAGAGCAGGUUUAAGGCAGAAGAAGAAGGGCUUAGGUUGAGGUUUAGGGGUUGAGUUUGAAAUGUGAAAGGGUCAUCCCGAUGGAGAUGAUCCCUAGGUAGCUGGAUUCUUUGUAAAUCAUCACGUCUUAUUUUCCCACUUCUACUGGUGACCAGUCCCACUUCUCCAAGCAGCUGAGCUCUCUAUGAACCAACCAAUAAGUGCCUUGAGUACCACCUGCUAUCUAGAGUAUUAUUAGCCUCUCAUUUUAAUAACCGAUACAUUUAAAUUUGCUCCCCUCCAAAGUUCAUCCUUAACGAGAACAGGAUGUGGGUGUACCCCACACAUAAUUAUAUAUGUAUUGUGAACUCUAUUUAAAAUGAGACCAUUGUUAUUCAACUGUUAGAUACUUU